rnacentral:rRNA from 1 species
UACGUAGGGUGCAAGCGUUAAUCGGAAUUACUGGGCGUAAAGCGUGCGCAGGCGGUGAUGUAAGACAGGUGUGAAAUCCCCGGGCUUAACCUGGGAACUGCAUUUGUGACUGCAUAGCUAGAGUGCGGCAGAGGGGGAUGGAAUUCCGCGUGUAGCAGUGAAAUGCGUAGAUAUGCGGAGGAACACCGAUGGCGAAGGCAAUCCCCUGGGCCUGCACUGACGCUCAUGCACGAAAGCGUGGGGAGCAAACCGG